AUUCUGGGCUGUCAAAACACAAGGCGCCGUGCUCAGUCUCAAUAACUCCAGUGAUGAUUAAUGAGCGGCUUGAUCAUUUAAUAUCUCAUGUGAUUAAAUUAUAAGGCGUGGGGGAAGGGAGCUCCGCACACUCCCGGCCGCGGUGGGGGACACGGACCAGCCAGCGGGUACCGGCAGCGCUCGAGCCUUACACUCCAGCUUCGAAGGUUGCCUGGAGAGGCUCCGCCACCGUGGGUCCGCGCCUUCCCAAGAAGAAAGCACAGCAGAAUGAGUUUUCUGGACGAUCA
ensembl:lincRNA Gm14114 predicted gene 14114